rnacentral:rRNA from 1 species
AGCGAACGCUGGCGGCAGGCUUAACACAUGCAAGUCGAGCGGGCAUCCUAGUGGUGUCAGCGGCAGACGGGUGAGUAACGCGUGGGAACGUGCCCUUCGGUUCGGAAUAACUCAGGGAAACUUGAGCUAAUACCGGAUACGUGCGAGAGCAGAAAGGUUUAACUGUCGAAGGAUCGGCCCGCGUCUGAUUAGCUAGUUGGUGAGGUUACGGCUCACCAAGGGGCAGAGCAGUAGCUGGUCUGAGAGGAUGAUCAGCCACACUGGGACGGGGACACGGCCCAGACUCCUACGAGAGGAAGCAAUGGGGAAUGUUGGACGAUGGGGGCAACACGGAUCCAGCCAUGCCGCGUGAGUGAUGACGGCGUUAGGGUUGUAAAGCUCUUUUCUCCGGGACGAUAAUGACGGUACCGGACGAAUAAGCCCCGGCUAACUUCGUG